AUACGGAGGAUGCAAGCGUUAUCCGGAUUUAUUGGGUUUAAAGGGUGCGUAGGCGGUUUGCUAAGCGGGAGGUGAAAUGCCGGCGCUCAACGUCGGAAGUGCCUCCCGAACUGGUGGACUUGAAUGACUCUGCCGUGGGAGGAAUGUGUAGUGUAGCGGUGAAAUGCUUAGAGAUUACACAGAACACCGAUUGCGAAGGCAUCUCACGAAGGGUUGAUUGACGCUGAGGCACGAAAGCGUGGGGAUCAAACAGGAUUAGAUACCCUGGUAGUCCACGCAGUAAACGAUGAUUACUAGCUGUUUGCGAUACAAUGUAAGCGGCUGAGCGAAAGCGUUAAGUAAUCCACCUGGGGAGUACGUUCGCAAGAAUGAAACUCAAAUGAAUUGGCGGGG
rnacentral:rRNA from 1 species